GGGAUUGUGGCAGACGAGGUCAUGCACUGGUCUCUUAAACCGGCCGAUGUGGUUUCGAUACCCACCAAUUUCA
rnacentral:tRNA from 2 species